rnacentral:rRNA from 1 species
GUGGGGAAUAUUGGACAAUGGGCGAAAGCCUGAUCCAGCCAUGCCGCGUGUGUGAAGAAGGUCUUCGGAUUGUAAAGCACUUUAAGUUGGGAGGAAGGGCAGUAAGUUAAUACCUUGCUGUUUUGACGUUACCGACAGAAUAAGCACCGGCUAACUUCGUGCCAGCAGCCGCGGUAAUACGAAGGGUGCAAGCGUUAAUCGGAAUUACUGGGCGUAAAGCGCGCGUAGGUGGUUUUGUAAGUUGGAGGUGAAAUCCCCGGGCUCAACCUGGGAACUGCCUCCAAAACUGCAUGACUAGAAUACGGUAGAGGGUAGUGGAAUUUCCUGUGUAGCGGUGAAAUGCGUAGAUAUAGGAAGGAACACCAGUGGCGAAGGCGACUACCUGGACUGAUACUGACACUGAGGUGCGAAAGCGUGGGGAGCAAACAGGAUUAGAAACCCUUGUAGUCC